rnacentral:rRNA from 1 species
AAUGAACGCUGGCGGCGUGCCUAACACAUGCAAGUCGAACGCGAAAGUCCUUCGGGAUGAGUAAAGUGGCGCACGGGUGAGUAACACGUAGGUGACCUGCCCUUCGAUGGGGGAUAACUCGAAGAAAUUCGAGCUAAUACCGCAUACGUACUGCAAAUUUGAAAGUAGCAGUAGAAAGAAUGCCUCUACUUGUAAGCAUUCAUCGAUGGAUGGGCCUGCGGUACAUUAGCUUGUUGGUGGGGUAACGGCCUACCAAGGCAACGAUGUAUAACUGGUUUGAGAGAAUGAUCAGUCACACUGGAACUGAGACACGGUCCAGACUCCUACGGGAGGCGGCAGUAGGGAAUAUUGCACAAUGGAGGAAACUCUGAUGCAGCGACGCCGCGUGAGUGAUGAAGGCCUUCGGGUCGUAAAGCUCUGUCGCAGGGGAAUAACACAAUGAAGGUACCCUGUAAGAAAGGAUCGGCUAACUUCGUGCCAGCAGCCGCGGUAAGAC